rnacentral:pre_miRNA from 1 species
CUGCUAUCUAGCUUUGCACUGUUUAUAUCCAACGUUUGACCGUCCAUCUUAUUUUAAAAAAAUAUUAUUAAUAUUUCUAUGUUAUUAGAUGAUAAAAUAUGAAUAGUACUUUAUGUGUGACUAUUUUAUUUUUAUUUUUUUAUAAAUAUUUUAAAUAAGAAUAACGGUCAAACGUCAGACAACAAAACCCGUCAAUGGAGGUAGU